CCUACGGGAGGCAGCAGUGAGGAAUAUUGGUCAAUGGACGAGAGUCUGAACCAGCCAAGUAGCGUGAAGGAUGACUGCCCUAUGGGUUGUAAACUUCUUUUAUCUGGGAAUAAAAUGUUCCACGUGUGGGAUUUUGUAUGUACCAUAUGAAUAAGGAUCGGCUAACUCCGGGCCAGCAGCCGCGGUAAUACGGAGGAUCCGAGCGUUAUCCGGAUUUUUUGGGUUUAAAGGGAGCGUAGGUGGAUUGUUAAGUCAGUUGUGAAAGUUUGCGGCUCAACCGUAAAAGUGCAGUUGAAACUGGCAGUCUUGAGUACAGUAGAGGUGGGCGGAAUUCGUGGUGUAGCGGUGAAAUGCUUAGAUAUCACGAAGAACUCCGAUUGCGAAGGCAGCUCACUGGACUGCAACUGACACUGAGGCUCGAAAGUGUGGGUAUCAAACAGGAUUAGAUACCCUGGUAGUC
rnacentral:rRNA from 1 species